GGUUAAGCGACUAAGCGUACACGGUGGAUGCCCUGGCAGUCAGAGGCGAUGAAGGACGUGCUAAUCUGCGAUAAGCGUCGGUAAGGUGAUAUGAACCGUUAUAACCGGCGAUUUCCGAAUGGGGAAACCCAGUGUGAUUCGUCACACUAUCAUUAACUGAAUCCAUAGGUUAAUGAGGCGAACCGGGGAACUGAAACAUCUAAGUACCCCGAGGAAAAGAAAUCAACCGAGAUUCCCCCAGUAGCGGCGAGCGAACGGGGAGCAGCCCAGAGCCUGAAUCAGUGUGUGUGUUAGUGGAAGCGUCUGGAAAGGCGUGCGAUACAGGGUGACAGCCCCGUACACAAAAAUGCACAUACUGUGAGCUCGAUGAGUAGGGCGGGACACGUGGUAUCCUGUCUGAAUAUGGGGGGACCAUCCUCCAAGGCUAAAUACUCCUGACUGACCGAUAGUGAACCAGUACCGUGAGGGAAAGGCGAAAAGAACCCCGGCGAGGGGAGUGAAAAAGAACCUGAAACCGUGUACGUACAAGCAGUGGGAGCACGCUUAGGCGUGUGACUGCGUACCUUUGUAUAAUGGGUCAGCGACUUAUAUUCUGUAGCAAGGUUAACCGAAUAGGGGAGCCGAAGGGAAACCGAGUCUUAACUGGGCGUUAAGUUGCAGGGUAUAGACCCGAAACCCGGUGAUCUCAGCCAUGGGCAGGUUGAAGGUUGGGUAACACUAACUGGAGGACCGAACCGACUAAUGUUGAAAAAUUAGCGGAUGACUUGUGGCUGGGGGUGAAAGGCCAAUCAAACCGGGAGAUAGCUGGUUCUCCCCGAAAGCUAUUUAGGUAGCGCCUCGUGAAUUCAUCUCCGGGGGUAGAGCACUGUUUCGGCAAGGGGGUCAUCCCGACUUACCAACCCGAUGCAAACUGCGAAUACCGGAGAAUGUUAUCACGGGAGGCACACGGCGGGUGCUAACGUCCGUCGUGAAGAGGGAAACAACCCAGACCGCCAGCUAAGGUCCCAAAGUCAUGGUUAAGUGGGAAACGAUGUGGGAAGGCCCAGACAGCCAGGAUGUUGGCUUAGAAGCAGCCAUCAUUUAAAGAAAGCGUAAUAGCUCACUGGUCGAGUCGGCCUGCGCGGAAGAUGUAACGGGGCUAAACCAUGCACCGAAGCUGCGGCAGCGACGCUUAUGCGUUGUUGGGUAGGGGAGCGUUCUGUAAGCCUGUGAAGGUGUACUGUGAGGUAUGCUGGAGGUAUCAGAAGUGCGAAUGCUGACAUAAGUAACGAUAAAGCGGGUGAAAAGCCCGCUCGCCGGAAGACCAAGGGUUCCUGUCCAACGUUAAUCGGGGCAGGGUGAGUCGACCCUCAAGGCGAGGCCGAAAGGCGUAGUCGAUGGGAAACAGGUUAAUAUUCCUGUACUUGGUGUUACUGCGAAGGGGGGACGGAGAAGGCUAUGUUGGCCGGGCGACGGUUGUCCCGGUUUAAGCGUGUAGGCUGGUUUUCCAGGCAAAUCCGGAAAAUCAAGGCCGAGGCGUGAUGACGAGGCACUACGGUGCUGAAGCAACAAAUGCCCUGCUUCCAGGAAAAGCCUCUAAGCAUCAGGUAACAUCAAAUCGUACCCCAAACCGACACAGGUGGUCAGGUAGAGAAUACCAAGGCGCUUGAGAGAACUCGGGUGAAGGAACUAGGCAAAAUGGUGCCGUAACUUCGGGAGAAGGCACGCUGAUACGUAGGUGAAGCGACUUGCUCGUGGAGCUGAAAUCAGUCGAAGAUACCAGCUGGCUGCAACUGUUUAUUAAAAACACAGCACUGUGCAAACACGAAAGUGGACGUAUACGGUGUGACGCCUGCCCGGUGCCGGAAGGUUAAUUGAUGGGGUUAGCGCAAGCGAAGCUCUUGAUCGAAGCCCCGGUAAACGGCGGCCGUAACUAUAACGGUCCUAAGGUAGCGAAAUUCCUUGUCGGGUAAGUUCCGACCUGCACGAAUGGCGUAAUGAUGGCCAGGCUGUCUCCACCCGAGACUCAGUGAAAUUGAACUCGCUGUGAAGAUGCAGUGUACCCGCGGCAAGACGGAAAGACCCCGUGAACCUUUACUAUAGCUUGACACUGAACAUUGAGCCUUGAUGUGUAGGAUAGGUGGGAGGCUUUGAAGUGUGGACGCCAGUCUGCAUGGAGCCGACCUUGAAAUACCACCCUUUAAUGUUUGAUGUUCUAACGUGGACCCGUAAUCCGGGUUGCGGACAGUGUCUGGUGGGUAGUUUGACUGGGGCGGUCUCCUCCUAAAGAGUAACGGAGGAGCACGAAGGUUGGCUAAUCCUGGUCGGACAUCAGGAGGUUAGUGCAAUGGCAUAAGCCAGCUUGACUGCGAGCGUGACGGCGCGAGCAGGUGCGAAAGCAGGUCAUAGUGAUCCGGUGGUUCUGAAUGGAAGGGCCAUCGCUCAACGGAUAAAAGGUACUCCGGGGAUAACAGGCUGAUACCGCCCAAGAGUUCAUAUCGACGGCGGUGUUUGGCACCUCGAUGUCGGCUCAUCACAUCCUGGGGCUGAAGUAGGUCCCAAGGGUAUGGCUGUUCGCCAUUUAAAGUGGUACGCGAGCUGGGUUUAGAACGUCGUGAGACAGUUCGGUCCCUAUCUGCCGUGGGCGCUGGAGAACUGAGGGGGGCUGCUCCUAGUACGAGAGGACCGGAGUGGACGCAUCACUGGUGUUCGGGUUGUCAUGCCAAUGGCACUGCCCGGUAGCUAAAUGCGGAAGAGAUAAGUGCUGAAAGCAUCUAAGCACGAAACUUGCCCCGAGAUGAGUUCUCCUGACCCUUUAAGGGUCCUGAAGGAACGUUGAAGACGACGACGUUGAUAGGCCGGGUGUGUAAGCGCAGCGAUGCGUUGAGCUAACCGGUACUAAUGAACCGUGAGGCUUAACCUU
rnacentral:rRNA from 1 species